rnacentral:rRNA from 1 species
GGCGGCAGGCGUAACACAUGCAAGUCGAGCGCGAAAGCACUUCGGUGUGAGUAGAGCGGCGGACGGGUGAGUAACGCGUAAGAAUCUACCUAGUAGUGGGGGACAACUCGAGGAAACUCGAGCUAAUACCGCAUACGCCCUACGGGGGAAAGCGGGGGACCUUCGGGCCUCGCGCUAUUAGAUGAGCUUGCGUUGGAUUAGCUUGUUGGUGAGGUAAUGGCUCACCAAGGCUACGAUCCAUAGCUGGUCUGAGAGGAUGAUCAGCCACACCGGGACUGAGACACGGCCCGGACUCCUACGGGAGGCAGCAGUGGGGAAUAUUGCGCAAUGGGCGAAAGCCUGACGCAGCCAUGCCGCGUGUGUGAAGAAGGCCUUAGGGUUGUAAAGCACUUUCAAUUGGGAGGAAAAGUUAACGACUAAUACUCGUUAGCCUUGACGUUACCUUUAGAAGAAGCACCGGCUAACUCCGUGCCAGCAGCCGCGGUAAUACGGAGGGUGCAAGCGUUAAUCGGAAUUACUGGGCGUAAAGCGCGCGUAGGCGGCUUUUUAAGUCGGAUGUGAAAGCCCCGGGCUCAACCUGGGAACUGCAUCCGAUACUGGAAGACUAGAGUGCGAGAGAGGGAGGUAGAAUUCCAUGUGUAGCGGUGAAAUGCGUAGAUAUAUGGAGGAAUACCAGUGGCGAAGGCGGCCUCCUGGCUCGACACUGA